UCAUUUUUUUUACCAACAUUAAUUUUUCAUUAAUGUCAUUUAUAAUUUUUUUAUCAAUGUUAAUAAAAUUAUUUUUUAUGAUGUUAUUCAUAAAAUAUUUAUUAUUGUUAGUCAUAAAAUAUUCACUAUCGUUUGAAACUACUGCAUUGCCGAAUGACCACCGCAAAUACCUCACACCGCACACCACGAAAAGUCAUACUAUUGCACCAUGAAACCAAACGGAUAUGAAGAAGAACCAAACGGAUAUGGAGAAGAGAAAUAAGAAUUGGAAGAUGAGAAGAAACUAAUAUGGUGAGAGUUGGAGAAGGUGGGAAUCUGAAAAGAAGGAAAGUGAGACUUGAGAGAGUGGGAAUAAGACUGCGCGAGUGAAAAUAGAUAAAUAAAAAUCGAUAAAAAUUUAGAGUUUAAUAUAAUUAAAAGUAAAAAAGACUAUUUUUAUAAUUAUAAAAAUGUUGUAGAGGAUUGGAGAGGUGGAGGAAGAGUGGUGUCGGAGAGAACAACACCUUAAUAUAAAAUAGAGAAAUUAUUAUUGUUCUUUCUCUAAUAAAACAGAAUUCUAGAGACUACAUUUUGAAAUAAGGAAAAAUAUUAUUAACUAACUAAUUUUGAAAAGAUAAUUAUAAAAGUAAUAUUUCCUAGUAAUACUAUAUAUAACUUGUAAUUAAGUAAAUUUUGUACUAUUUUACGUAUUAGUACCUA
rnacentral:lncRNA from 1 species